rnacentral:lncRNA from 1 species
AACAAGGUCAAGGAAGAUAUUAAAUAGUAUUACAGAAGCAUUCCUAUAACAAGAUAGCAGGCUGCAACUCAUUGAAUUCCAACACGAUAUUAAGCACCUGUAUCCGUGAAGCAUCCAUCUUCCUUUGCAUUAAUUAUACCAGAAAAGCAUCAGCCGCAGCAAGAAACGUUGGAAACAAGCAUAGAAUUCUUGCAAAACUUCAUCUCUUUUUCUACAUUGCACAAAAUAAACAACUAUGCUGGAAAAUCGAAGCAAUUAGGCUGCAAAACUCCAUCAAGCCAUAUUUUCAUAGCCGCCAAUAAACUCACAGCCACAACCGCUUUAUCACGAAUCUUGUAACAAUUCUGAUAGUGAAAAACCACACAAUGAGACUCAUGUAGAAGCCUUAAAAGUUAAGAACCAAACUCAUCCCCUCGACCACCUUUCACAGCGCUACAAAUCACGAUCACCACAGACUAACGUGAAUCGCAUAUCAAAUAUUACAGGUCUAGACAGUAGACAUGAACAAUCACCGAAUAGGAGCUUCUAUGAUCGCAACGACAAUUUAUCUAGUUAUUUAUUGGCAUCUUCACACCUUCAAUUGUGAAGCUUCAAUACUCACAAAUCACAGCCCAUUAACAUGAUUUAUCAACCACCAAAAUAACACCCAUAACAUUCUUCACCACAUUCUUCACGACAUGAACAAGUACUAAUUAAACACACAUACCAAUGUACAAUGUCAGGAAACAAAAUACACAGCAAACAUAUUUGAUUUCAUAAAUUAAGGGGUUAAGGUAUUUAACAUAUAAAUAUUUGAUUUCAUAUAUUAAGUGACACCUAUAUAUUAAAUCACCAGCUACAUAUAAAUAUUUGAUUUCAUAAAUUAAGGGUACCUUAACAUUUUUCAAAAAACUAAGUAUUGUAUAAAUAAUCGAAUUAGCUCAUGAAUUAAACGAGCCGAGCUAUAUAUGACUCAAGUUCAGCUCAGUUAAUUAACAAACUUAAUUUUCAGCUCAUGAACCAAAUUAAAAAAAAAAAAUUAAUUAUUGAGUUGAGUUUAGAACCAAGUUUGAAUUGGUUCACUUCGUCGACUGUUGAAACCAAACUCCAAAGUGCAAGCUGCUUUUCUUCCUCCUCCUAAUCUUUCUAGUUGUUUGAUAUGUCUUGGUGUUGAGAAUUU